rnacentral:lncRNA from 1 species
UGUUUUGUUUUACUAGAAAACAUGAUUUUGAAUUUUCUGCCAUUGAUUCCUUAUUUUUUUAAACUCCCAAAGGGACUCUGUUGUAGCAGGUCUGUGGACUAGCAUUUGAGAAACACCAAUCUAGAGCUGUGGGUCUUAAAACUUCAGUAUCUAUAAGAAUUACCUGGGAACCUGUUAACAAUGUGUAUUCUCAGCCUUCAACCCAAGAAAGUCUGGUUCAGAAGGGCUGGAUGCUGAGCUGAUGGCUUCUUGAGCACCACAUCACAACCUCACAUCUUCCUCUAGCCACUGCUACAGAGACCAAUUCUAUGGCUUCCACAGUUCCAUGCAGAUGUGACCUUUACGGCACCUUGCACCAGGCCUGUGUGCCUGUAUCUCUCACUUUCUGUUCCAGAGCUUCUCUAAACACCAGGGUAAGAGAUGCCCAAAGGAACCACUCAUCAUUUACUGACAACAUUUUACUUGAUGUACCCUCAUAUAUUCAUUAUAGCUGAUUUUUUUUUGGAUAGUGAAUUUUUGUAGACUUUCUAAAGCAGAUUUUAUACACAUAUUUAGAUUGCCAGAAUUCAGAUAGUAAGGGAGACCCACACUUGUGAAACCCUCUGAUAAUCCCAGGGACUUCUGCAUCCUUGUAUGCCUAUCCCCUUGGAUUUUGUUUUCAUGCUCUUCUCUUCAGACAUAACCCCCUUAGCUAUUAAUUUUAUCAUUUGGUUUGUUUGUUUACAAGUCUUCUUAAAUCUUGUGUGGAAGGAAGAAAAUAGAAAAUCAUUUCAGAUACAUGGAUUGUUUGCAUAUUUAUUCAAACCAAACCCUGGUGUUGAUAUGACAGGAAAACAGAGGAAAGGAAAUUAAGAUUACUUGAGGAAGAACUAAGCACUUAAUAUGUAUCAUUACACUUAAUUCUCACAGAAGUUCUAUUUCACAGAGGGUAAAACGGAGCAUCAGUUAAGGUAAGUAGGCUUGUGUGGGUUUCCCAGCUGCUAAGUGGUGAAAUGGGUCUGAGGCUGGGUACAUCUCAUUCUAAACCCUGCACCAGUAAAUGCUGUUUUACUGAUUAUAAUCUGUAAAGCACUUGAUACAUGUAAAGUAUUAAAUUACUUACAUCUUCCAUUUAAUUGACUUCAUCAACCUCAGAAGCAUAGUAAAUUGUAAUG